UACAGAGGUCUCAAGCGUUGUUCGGAUUCAUUGGGCGUAAAGGGCGCGUAGGCUGCGGGGCAAGUCGGGUGUGAAAUCUCAGAGCUCAACUCUGAAACUGCACUCGAUACUGCUUUGCUCGAGGACUGGAGAGGAGAUUGGAAUUCACGGUGUAGCAGUGAAAUGCGUAGAUAUCGUAAGGAAGACCAGUGGCGAAGGCGGGUCUCUGGACAGUUCCUGACGCUGAGGCACGAAGGUCAGGGGGAGCAAAACGGGG
rnacentral:rRNA from 1 species